CAUCUACUUACCAGCUGGAAAACUAUGCCAAGUUCCUCCUAGUGAAGCUGCAUGGUGAACACACAGACCCUUCCCCACCUUCAGGACGCAGGAAAGACAAUGAACCUGAACAAUAAUGACGGGGCCAAACAGGUUCCUAACCAAGGUUCCUGACAGGUGGAAAUAAAGACAGCCUGCAUAGUUGCAGGGCUUUCAGGAAAACAAAGUAGCUUAAAACACCUUUUCAAAAAGAAUGCUGGCCAUGAUAAUAUAUUUCAAUCUGAUACUUAAGAAUUUCUGUAGAUCAAGAAAGAUGGCAGUUGAAGAAGUUUCAAACACAUUUAGUUUUAAAUAUAUCCCAUUUAAUCUUUGCUUUUGCUUUAGUUGUCAUCUGUACUGGGAUGUACUGUCCUCUUGGAUUUCCUUCACGUGGACUUCCUGCUUCCCCAAGAACCUACCUUGUGUUCAGUGAUCUUUUUGAAGUAUCAGAUGUUGGGUUGUAGUAUGGAAAUUGACCUUUCUGAUACUGUCACCCUUCAACAAGAACCUGCCUUGUCCUCUGCACUUCUCUGGGCGUGUGGAGCAGGAACACUAGGAUGAGAUCACCCAGAUUUCCACACCUUAAUACAGUCCUAGCCAGUUUCCAAGCUUCAGCUCUGCACUUCCAGGGAACUGCAGAAAGCCCAUUCCUUCACCUCCAGUCUUUCCAUCCUCUCAUACAGUUUACAUCCUCUCCUGCAGAUGACCGCCCCAAAUACAACCCUGAAGAUAAUCAUUUCCCUAUUCACCAAUGUUCCCAACUUUUCCAUUCCCUAUUGGCCUACUUCUAUGCCAUUGCAUGCAUGUAUUUUUCUCUUUCUAGAAUGUUUCUUUCCAGGUGCCAGCUCCAAAUCAUUGCAGCCCCUCCAAGGCCCACUUCACAUUUUGCCUAUUUUGUGACCCUUCCCCUUUGAUAUCUCCAGCACAUUGUCUCAGCUCUCUUAAAAGGAAAGCCUGGGCAUUCUCAGCAAUUCACAGAAUCUUAGCAGCCACUGAAAUCCUACACUCACACAUUGCAGAGAAGGCUUGAAAAAUAAAUGAACCGUCUGUGUGUUCUUCAUUGAAGAGAUAAGUACUAUCUCAUUGAUUCUUUUGGAUUUAGUUGAGACAGAUUUGGCUGUCCUUUGAAGAUUUAAAGCUAGAGAUAAGCUCCAGACUGACUGUAUUUGUAUUUUUUAAAACAGUUCUUGUUCUGAGUAUGAACUUUUUGAAAAAUGCCAGAUGCUUGAACAAAGCAUUUUUUUUCUGCCAUGUAAUAGUGUGAAUAUAAGUACUGUGUUUGAAUUUACCCUUAGACAUACUUCCAGAUGUCAUUAUUGUCUAAGCAGUCUGACUUGGUCUUAGAAAUUGGGAAGUUUAGGGUGAGGAGUUUCUGGGGACAGGGAAGCAGAAAUUUUAAAAAUAUACCCCUUAGAUUCUGAAAUUUUUAAUAUGCUAUUCUAGGGCAUGGUGGAGCAAGGAUUGGAUUCCUGAUCAAAACUGAGUCUUAAUCUCUGUUUUGCAUUUGUGCUGUGUAGUAUCCAGUCUUCAGGAAUGCCUUCUUACCAGCUUUACUUUAAGGAAACAUGUCCAACUCUUGGGUGCUUUCCAGAGAAAUGAAAAGACAAUCAGGCUAUCAUCAGAUUUCUCAAGAAAAAUCUUCAGAUUUCUAAGUAAAAAAACUAUUUUCAAUCUAGAAUUCUAUACUUGGCUAAACUAUCAAUAAAGUCUGAGUAGGCAAUAAAGAAAUUUUUAGAUUUUCAAGAACUCAAAGUAUUUCUUCUGAUUUAUCAUCAUAUUAUACUGUAUAUAACUUACCUUAUUUCUGUACAUUCUAAUAAUUUUUAUUGUGGUAAAAUAUAUAUAACAUAAAAUUAGCCCUUUUAGCAAGCUCUAAUUGCACAGCUGAGUAGCAUUAAGUAAACUUUGGUUGUUGUGCAGCUGUCUCCACUGUCCUUUCCAGAACUUUCCAGAAACAUCAAAUCCAUUAAGAUAAUAGCUUAUCCAUUAUCCCCUCCUCAGUCCUGACAACCCACCAUUCUACUGUCUGUCUCUGUGAAUUUGACUAUUUUAGGUACUUCAUAUAAGUAUAAUCAGAAAUAUUGACCCAAUUGUGUUUGGCUUAUUUCACAGAGUAUGUUUUCAAGGUCCACUUGCAUUAACAUAUAUAAAAUGUUCAUUCCUUUUUAUGACUGCAUAAUAUUACCUUGUUUGAAUCUACCACGUUUUGUUUAUCCAUUUAUCCAUCAAUAAACUUUUGGGUUAUUUCUA